rnacentral:rRNA from 1 species
UUAGAGUUUGAUCCUGGCUCAGGAUGAACGCUAGCUACAGGCUUAACACAUGCAAGUCGAGGGGAAACGACAUCGAAAGCUUGCUUUUGAUGGGCGUCGACCGGCGCACGGGUGAGUAACGCGUAUCCAACCUGCCCACCACUUGGGGAUAACCUUGCGAAAGUAAGACUAAUACCCAAUGAUAUCUCUAGAAGACAUCUGAAAGAGAUUAAAGAUUUAUCGGUGAUGGAUGGGGAUGCGUCUGAUUAGCUUGUUGGCGGGGUAACGGCCCACCAAGGCGACGAUCAGUAGGGGUUCUGAGAGGAAGGUCCCCCACAUUGGAACUGAGACACGGUCCAAACUCCUACGGGAGGCAGCAGUGAGGAAUAUUGGUCAAUGGACGAGAGUCUGAACCAGCCAAGUAGGCGUGCAGGAUGACGGCCCUAUGGGUUGUAAACUGCUUUUAUAAGGGAAUAAAGUGAGUCUCGUGAGACUUUUUGCAUGUACCUUAUGAAUAAGGACCGGCUAAUUCCGUGCCAGCAGCCGCGGUAAUACGGAAGGUCCGGGCGUUAUCCGGAUUUAUUGGGUUUAAAGGGAGCGUAGGCCGGAGAUUAAGCGUGUUGUGAAAUGUAGAUGCUCAACAUCUGCACUGCAGCGCGAACUGGUUUCCUCGAGUACGCACAAAGUGGGCGGAAUUCGUGGUGUAGCGGUGAAAUGCUUAGAUAUCACGAAGAACUCCGAUUGCGAAGGCAGCUCACUGGAGCGCAACUGACGCUGAAGCUCGAAAGUGCGGGUAUCGAACAGGAUUAGAUACCCUGGUAGUCCGCACGGUAAACGAUGGAUGCCCGCUGUUGGUCUGAAUAGGUCAGCGGCCAAGCGAAAGCAUUAAGCAUCCCACCUGGGGAGUACGCCGGCAACGGUGAAACUCAAAGGAAUUGACGG